GGGCCCGCACAAGCAGCGGAGCAUGUGGUUUAAUUCGAAGCAACGCGAAGAACCUUACCUAGACUUGACAUCUCCUGAAUAGCGUAGAGAUACGUGAAGCCCUUCGGGGCAGGAAGACAGGUGGUGCAUGGUUGUCGUCAGCUCGUGUCGUGAGAUGUUGGGUUAAGUCCCGCAACGAGCGCAACCCUUAUCAUUAGUUGCUACCAUUAAGUUGAGCACUCUAGUGAGACUGCCCGGGUUAACCGGGAGGAAGGCGGGGAUGACGUCAAAUCAUCAUGCCCCUUAUGUCUAGGGCUACACACGUGCUACAAUGGUGAGAACAACGAGAUGCAAUACCGCGAGGUGGAGCCAAACUUGAAAACUCAUCCCAGUUCGGAUUGCAGGCUGAAAUUCGCCUACAUGAAGUUGGAGUUGCUAGUAAUCGCGAAUCAGAAUGUCGCGGUGAAUACGUUCCCGGGCCUUGUACACACCCGCCCGUCACACCAUGAGAGCUGGUAACACCCGAAGUCCGUGAGGUAACCUUUAUGGGGCCAGCGGCCGAAGGUGGGAUUAGUGAUUGGGGUGAAGUCGUAACAAGGUAGCCGUAGGAGAACCUGCGGCUGGAUCAC
rnacentral:rRNA from 1 species